UUGUGCCCUUGAGGCGUGGCUUCCGGAGCUAACGCGUUAAGUCGACCUCCUGGGGAGUCCGGCCGCAAGGUUUAAACUCAAAUGAAUUGACUGGGGCCCGCACAAGCGGAGGAGCAUGUGGUUUAAUUCGAUGCAACGCGAAGAACCUUACCUGGUCUUGACAUCCACAGAACUUUCCAGAGAUGGAUUGGUGCCUUCGGGAACUGUGAGACAGGUGCUGCAUGGCUGUCGUCAGCUCGUGUUGUGAAAUGUUGGGUUAAGUCCCGCAACGAGCGCAACCCUUAUCCUUUGUUGCCAGCGGUCCGGCCGGGAACUCAAAGGAGACUGCCAGUGAUAAACUGGAGGAAGGUGGGGAUGACGUCAAGUCAUCAUGGCCCUUACGACCAGGGCUACACACGUGCUACAAUGGCGCAUACAAAGAGAAGCGACCUCGCGAGAGCAAGCGGACCUCAUAAAGUGCGUCGUAGUCCGGAUUGGAGUCUGCAACUCGACUCCAUGAAGUCGGAAUCGCUAGUAAUCGUGGAUCAGAAUGCCACGGUGAAUACGUUCCCGGGCCUUGUACACACCGCCCGUCACACCAUGGGAGUGGGUUGCAAAAGAAGUAGGUAGCUUAACCUUCGGGAGGGCGCUUACCACUUUGUGAUUCAUGACUGGGGUGAAGUCGUAACAAGGUAACCGUAGGGGAACCUGCGGUUG
rnacentral:rRNA from 1 species